UCAUUGAAAUGCAAUCAAAAGUAAGUACAUCACUGUAUUUACCUCUUACCCUUAGGUUAAAGGAAUAGUUCACCCAAAAAUUAUCAUUCUUAUAAUUUACUCAUCCUUAAUGUCGUCUCAAACUUAUGACUUUCUUUCUACCCCAGAACACAAAUUUUAAUCUUUAAUAUUUUGAUAUUUUGACGGAGAUAUGAUGUGAAUAUAUCUUUAUAAUGCAAGUGAAUGAUGACCAAAUUUUCAAGCUCCAGAAAAGUACAGAAAGGCACCAUAAUGGUAAUCCACAGGUCUCUAGUGGUUUAAUCCAUGUCUUCUGAGGCAAUAAGAUUUUGGGUGAGAAACAUACCAAAAUGUAACCCUUCUUUUACUGUAAUUAAAUCUUGCCAUUGCAGCCUCUAAGCACGGCCAUAAUUCCAUGUGAGGCAUGUACAAAGUGCUAGGAAGUGUAAUUGAAAUUAUGAUCAUUCUUAGAGACUAUAAUGGCAAGCUAUACAGUGAAUAAGUAGUUACAUUUUGGUUGGUCCAUACAUUUUGCUUCUCCGUUAGAAGCUGAAUACUGUAAGUUCGGUGCGCUGUCACCCUCUCGCAGUUGUGCAUUUCAUGGUUAUUUUUUUAUGUUUGAGAUUUUGCUCAUCACGUUGAUUUAGACGAGGACGCUGACAUGCCGUUUACUGGUAUUGUGCAUUUUAUGGAUUCAUGCAUUUUUAUUUGAUUCGCUAUUUUUCUCAGAAACUUGCAUUUGAGCGCGAGGUUAAGACAUCAUCCAUCAAUAAUUAAUUAUUCAAAACACUGUCCGUCAUUUUGGCAGAUAGGCCUACAAGCAAGAAUCUCCGCUUUAACCAUCUUCACGUGGUAUAUUUUCACUAUCUGUCAGUCUAUGUGUGCAUGCGAAAGAGAGAAAAGGAGAGCGCUCGCAGCCGUGUGAGACUUAGAAAACUGUGUUUGAAUGCAAAAUUAAUUUACGUGCCUCUUUUAAAAGUACUUGGUAUAUGAUGCAAGAUGCAUCAAGGAGUUUAUUCUGAUUGUAGGUUGCAAUAAUAAGUUCAAAACUUUGGGUGUAAGAUCAGCUGUCACUCGCACUGUGCAGCAAAAUAAUUGUCUGAAUUCACACGCAGUAAUUUUCACUCGCAAAUGCUGGAGCUCUACAAAUUCCAUGGCACACUGGCCCACCUGCCUCGGUACACCAGUGUGCCAUGGCACACCAUUUGAGAACCACUGGCAUAUAUGAUAGGAAAUGUGUUUGUACUUUGCAGUUGGUGUAGGACUGAGUAGUGCAUGGAUUGAUGAGCAAAUGAAUUGUUACUUAUGUCGUUCAAAUCUGUGAACUAUAAAAACUGCGGUUUCACAAUGGGUUCAUUAUAACAUUAUGAAAUGUUUGAAUGGAAUGUGAAUGGAGUACACAAUUCCUGUAUUUAAUAAAAUUAAAGAACAGAUACCUUAAUAAAAUACUACUCCAGUAAAAGGGAGGGGUCUAAUACCACACAGACAGAGCUUAAAUAGGUUAGAGCUCAAUAAUUAUUAAUUACUAGGUGCACACUCGGGCUGUAGGGAUCAUUUUACUCCUGGAUUAUGGCUCAUUUGAGUCGGACAAGACCAAUUCAGUUGUUUAUUGUUAACUUGACUCACUCCGUCCAUAUCAUUGAAUCACUGUUAACUGCUACAAGUUGAAUCUGCUGGACCAGUAGAAUUCACAAAUGAAUCAAUCAAUGUGAUUUAUGAACCGGUUCAAAAGAAUCAGCUCAAAAGAAUGAUUCGUUUACGAAACGGACAUCACUAUUGGGUCUCGGAGAAGAUCUUGAUUUCUUGACGAACAGCAUGUUUUCCUGAAAUGAAGUAGGGUAGUUUAGAUACUGUGCUUUUAGAAUGUUGUGAAGAAAAUGUAUGCUAAAAGUUUCCCAAAAUGAAAAUAACCUGGCAAGACACAUUGCAGCGUCAUUAAGUUCUCAUACAACUGCACACGAUAUGUGGCUUAUAAAAACCAAUAACACCUUCUGUAACUAUUUAUUUAAUCCAUAAUUCAUCAUUUCUCUACCUGAAGAUUUGACCCUCAAUCCUGCUUGUUUAAAGGUUGUGGGGUCAUUUGUGCAUUAAAAGACCAGCUUAAAUUAGCCAAACAAUACUUUUAGGGCCAUUGCGAGAUGUAGGCUAAUGUUUUUUUUUUCCUUCCGUGCAUUAUAAUGAAGGCUUUGUGAAACUGCACAGCUUUUCCAGUUCAUAAAUUUGAUUGACAGACAGUCCAUGUACUCUGUUUUACACCAACUACGAACACAUUUCCUAUCAUGUAUGCCUAUGAAGACGACCAAGCCAAUGAGAGUCUUAAAGGGGCGACAUGUGUAGCCCCGCCCCAGAUGCAGCCCCGCCCUGUUCUGCAGGCUGCAGCCAGGUCUACUUGCAACAGAGUGUGCUGGCGAUCGUAAAGCAUGUGAUAGGCUGACGGUAGUUGGGGGACUACACUUUACCUUGCAUUUGGAACUUUAAAGUAUUCCAGCUAGAUCAAUAGUAAAAUAAGCCUCUUGAAGAGACUUUCCUCCUACAUUUAUUAAAUGUUUGCAUUUAAAAUAAAAAGUAAGUAAGGUGAAGUGAAGUACCCACUGUUGCAUUUGCGGUAUAUAAUCGCAGCGGCUCUGCAUGCUAGAAAUGCUGCCAGCGUAAAAGCACAGUGGCAACGCCUAUGCGCUGCUCACGUGUCCAGUGUGAAAUGGGCAUAACUUGUGAAAGUCUAUGGUUAUAGUGCCACUUAGCAGUCCAGAACAGCAAAUACAUGUUGCUACGGAGAGAGGGCCUCAGCCAGCCAACUGUGAGAAGUGACUGAAUGUGUUAUGAGUAAAGGUAAAAUGUGAAAUAUAUUGCAAAGCAUAAAACUAAAAUUCAAUUUGCAAUUGACCAAAUAUAUUUCAUAUAAUGAAAUUACUGGCAAAUAUUUUAUAGCCAAAUUAUGUUAUAAUGGCUUAAUGGUACUGUUAACUGCAUGCCAUAACUUGUGGUAUUUUCUCAGACUCACCAUCUCAGCCUUAUUGGUGGGGCCAGUCCAGGAGAGUGUGUAAGGAUGGUCAUGCGGGCAGUAGUAACCAACAUUGUCUGGAGCCACUACAGUCUGCUGGGGAAGCGGGAGAAGUUGCCUCUGAUUGGAACAACUGUGUGCAAAGUUAUCAAACACUAAAAUACCCUUGCCUCCUUUGCUUGCGAUGCUGUGGAAAACAAUGAUUUCAUCUCUCUACGAGCCCUACUAGAGAAGUGUUAGUCGGGGGAGAUCAAAAGACGGCCAGUUCACAGAGAGAGGAGAGAGACAGACAGACCAGAGUCUUCGUGUCUGACCCCUGAGAGAGAGUCUUGUCUUGAUGGAUGUCCUUUUUGUAUAUUUUGUAGACAGUUUAUCUGGCACCGAGUAAACUUAAAAAAAAAAUUAAAAAAAUUCUUGCUUGUUGAAGCAGCCCCUAUGUGUUUUAAUAUGAACCAGAUGUGAAUCUUCUGCUGCAGGCAAGUUCCACACUAUGCUUUUUUUGAGGUCUUUAAUUGGGGGGAGGAACCUCUGGUGGAACAUAAGAUAGUGUUUUCUUUCUUUUUAGAAGCACCCUAUUACAUAUAUUGUCAUGUCCCGUUCCUCUUGUGUCAUGUUUAAACUAGAGUUUAAACUAGUAAUUUUUUAACAAUAAAAUGUAUACAAACAUGUAGUUCAUCCUACAAGCCUAGCACUGCAAUGUUCCAACCAUAGUAGUUACAUCACUUAAAGGGGAUUUGUGAACAUAUUAUAGUACCUUACACAAGCUUUGUACUUUCUGUUAUUUAACAGUCUUGAAGAUAAAUAAAAAAAAAAAAAAUAAAUAAAAA